CAGUUAUCGUUUAUUUGAUAGUACCUUACUACUUGGAUACCUGUGGUAAUUCUAGAGCUAAUACAUGCUAAAAACCUCGACUUCGGAAGGGGUGUAUUUAUUAGAUAAAAAACCAAUGCCCUUCGGGGCUCCUUGGUGAUUCAUAAUAACUUAACGAAUCGCAUGGCCUUGCGCCGGCGAUGGUUCAUUCAAAUUUCUGCCCUAUCAACUUUCGAUGGUAUUGUAGUGGAUUACCAUGGUGUCUACGGGUAACGGGGAAUUAGGGUUCUAUUCCGGAGAGGGAGCCUGAGAAACGGCUACCACAUCCAAGGAAGGCAGCAGGCGCGCAAAUUACCCAAUCCCGACUCGGGGAGGUAGUGACAAUAAAUACUGAUGACGAGCUCUUUUGGGUUUGUCAAUUGGAAUGAGUACAAUUUAAAUCCCUUGGGAAUCCAUCGUUAGGGGGUUGCCGCAGUCAAGCUCCGCUUGGCAACGUUUUCAUCCUCUCGAGGAGCUGGGGUCCUCCCCCGGCGAUUCGAAGCCCCUCUGGGGGUCAAGAGGCUAUAAGGAUGCGGGCAGGGGGUCGCCUCUGGCGCCCUCCUGCUUAAGAUAUGGUCCGACAGCCGGCGCACCGCCGGACUGGUAAUCGUAACGAGGAACAAUUGGAGGGCAAGUCUGGUGCCAGCAGCCGCGGUAAUUCCAGCUCCAAUAGCGUAUAUUAAAGUUGUUGCAGUUAAAAAGCUCGUAGUUGAAACUUGGGUCUGGCUGACCGGUCCGCCUCACCGCGUGCACUGGCUCGGCCGGGCCUUUCCUUCUGGGGAGCCCUAUGCCCUUCAUUGGGUGUAGCGGGGAACCAGGACUUUUACUUUGAAAAAAUUAGAGUGUUCAAAGCAGGCCUAUGCUCGAAUACAUUAGCAUGGAAUAAUAGAAUAGGACGUGUGGUUCUAUUUUGUUGGUUUCUAGGACCGCCGUAAUGAUUAAUAGGGAUAGUCGGGGGCGUCUGUAUUCCGUUGUCAGAGGUGAAAUUCUUGGAUUUACGGAAGACAAACUACUGCGAAAGCAUUCGCCAAGGAUGUUUUCAUUAAUCAGUGAACGAAAGUUAGGGGAUCGAAGACGAUUGGGCCCUCCGGGUAUGUGGUCGUCUACAGCUUUACCAAUUUCAAAAGUUAGUCGGGGCCUCUCGGGCCCUGGCCACACUGUCCAACUGCUGGAGCUCCGCCUCGCCUCGGCGACGUGAGAUCCACAGCCAAGUCCAACGGCCCCCACGCCCGCGGAUGCAGUUUACAGACUGCCUGACGGUGGGCCUGCUUCUCUACGGAGCUGGUUUAAGAUAUAGUCGAGUCCUGCGCCUGGAAGGUGCAAGGUAGAAACGCAGAUACCGUCGUAGUCUUAACCAUAAACUAUGCCGACUAGGGAUCGGACGGUGUUAUUAUUUUGACCCGUUCGGCACCUUACGAGAAAUCAAAGUUUUUGGGUUCUGGGGGGAGUAUGGUCGCAAGGCUGAAACUUAAAGACAUUGACGGAAGGGCACCACCAGGGGUUUUACGCCUGGUAAGAAUACUCUUAGCCCCCUGAGCACCGGUGCCAGGGUGGUGAGGCCUUUGAACUGCGUGGACUCUCUGCUCUCGGAGCAUGAAGUACCCGCAGCCAGACAUCCUCCGGGGGUGUCUGGCCCACAGAUCAAGUGGUGGCCGGCGUUUCCCCCGCGAAAUGCUUUGAUAUGAUCGGCCUCCCGACCUUGAAUGUUGGGGGACUCAGUGCGUGGAGCCUGCGGCUUAAUUUGACUCAACACGGGGAAACUCACCAGGUCCAGACAAUUUAAGGAUUGACAGAUUGAGAGCUCUUUCUUGAUUAAUUGGGUGGUGGUGCAUGGCCGUUCUUAGUUGGUGGAGUGAUUUGUCUGCUUAAUUGCGAUAACGAACGAGACCUUAACCUGCUAAAUAGCCCGGUCAGCUUUGGCUGGCCGCCGGCUUCUUAGAGGGACUAUCGGCUCAAGCCGAUGGAAGUUUGAGGCAAUAACAGGUCUGUGAUGCCCUUGACUAGAAUAUUCUAGGGGCCUAUAACGAUUCGGUUCUUAGUUGCCCUCGCACGGCAGCAACAUUGCCACUCUGGCGGGGAAGCUCUUGGAGCGGACCUGCAGCCCCCCGGGGCACAGAGACUAAAUGGUGGUGGGCGUCCUCGGAUGCUUGUGAUAUAGUCCAACCCAAAGCCCCCCUGGCUUUGGUCUUUGUGUAGAUGUUCUGGGCCGCACGCGCGCUACACUGACAGAGACAACGAGUUCAUCUCCUUGGCCGGAAGGUCUGGGUAAUCUUGUUAAACUCUGUCGUGCUGGGGAUAGAGCAUUGCAAUUAUUGCUCUUCAACGAGGAAUGCCUAGUAAGCGCAAGUCAUCAGCUUGCGUUGAUUACGUCCCUGCCCUUUGUACACACCGCCCGUCGCUACUACCGAUUGAAUGGCUCAGUGAGGCCUCCGGACUGGCUUAGAGAGGGCGGCAACGCUCACUCAGAGCCGGAAGC
rnacentral:rRNA from 1 species